rnacentral:rRNA from 1 species
AUUGAACGCUGGCGGCAUGCCUUACACAUGCAAGUCGAACGGUAACGGGUCCUUCGGGAUGCCGACGAGUGGCGAACGGGUGAGUAAUAUAUCGGAACGUGCCCAGUAGUGGGGGAUAACUGCUCGAAAGAGCAGCUAAUACCGCAUACGACCAGAGGGUGAAAGGGGGGGAUCGCAGGACCUCUCGCUAUUGGAGCGGCCGAUAUCAGAUUAGCUAGUUGGUGGGGUAAAGGCCUACCAAGGCAACGAUCUGUAGUUGGUCUGAGAGGACGGCCAGCCACACUGGGACUGAGACACGGCCCAGACUCCUACGGGAGGCAGCAGUGGGGAAUUUUGGACAAUGGGCGCAAGCCUGAUCCAGCAAUGCCGCGUGCAGGAAGAAGGCCUUCGGGUUGUAAACUGCUUUUGUCAGGGAAGAAAUCUUCUGGGCUAAUACCCCGGGAGGAUGACGGUACCUGAAGAAUAAGCACCGGCUAACUACGUGCCAGCCGCCGCAGUAA